GACGAACGCUGGCGGCGUGCUUAACACAUGCAAGUCGAACGGUAAGGCCCUUCGGGGUACACGAGUGGCGAACGGGUGAGUAACACGUGGGUGAUCUGCCCUGCACUUCGGGAUAAGCCUGGGAAACUGGGUCUAAUACCGGAUAGGACCCUGGGAUGCAUGUCCUGGGGUGGAAAGCUUUUGCGGUGUGGGAUGGGCCCGCGGCCUAUCAGCUUGUUGGUGGGGUGAUGGCCGACCAAGGCGACGACGGGUAGCCGGCCUGAGAGGGUGACCGGCCACACUGGGACUGGGAUACGGCCCAGACGCCUACGGGAGGGAGCAUUGGGGAAUAUUGCACAAUGGGCGCAAGGCUGAUGCAGCGACGCCGCGUGAGGGAUGACGGCCUUCGGGUUGUAACCCUCUUUCAGCACCGACGAAGCGCAAGUGACGGUAGGUGCAGAAGAAGGACCGGCCAACUACGUGCCAGCCGCCGCAGUAA
rnacentral:rRNA from 1 species